GCCCUUGACCAAAAUCAAAGGUGUAGCCUGCCCAGUGAUUUCAAAAUAAAUAAAAAUAAACAUUUUUUAAUGAAAUUAAAAGGACGCAGUAUCCUAACUGUGAUAAUGUAGCGUAAUCACUUGCCACUUAAUUGGUGGAUAGUAUGAAUGGCUAAACGAAUAUUACACUGUCUCUUAUAGAAAACUUAUAAAAUUGAAAUAAUAGUAAAGAUGCUAUUUAAAAUUGUAAGACGAAUAGACCCUAUAGAGCUUUACUAUAAUUUAUAUAUAUAUAUAUAAAUAGGUAGUUUGGUUGGGGCGACCGUCUUCUAUAAAAAACGAAGAUAAAUAAAUACAAAAAAUAAAUUUAUUGUAAAAAUCAUAAUUUUAACAAUUAUAAUAAUAGAAUUAAUGACCCAUUAGAAAAAAGUAAUUAAUCUAAUGAAAAUAAAUAAAAGCUACCUUAGGGAUAACAGGAUAAUUUUGCCUUAGAGAUCAAAUCAAAUGCAAAGUUUAUCACCUCUAUGUUGAAUUAAGAUAUCCUAUUAAUGCAGAAGUUAAUAAAGGUAGGUCUGUUCGACCUUUAAAAUCUU
rnacentral:rRNA from 1 species